ACGCGCACUAUACAUUCCAUGACUUCCGGGCACUUCGUAAGGUUUAAAUAAGGAUGCUUUGCGUUCACUCGCCCUUUUGAAGACAAGAUUCGCGGUCGUCUGUUCCUCCAUUAGGAUUUGUUAAGGAUUCCAAGUAACUCUUGGAAAGAAGACAGUCUGCACUUAACACUUCAGCAUUGAUGUUUACUUUUGGGGUCCUUUAUAUAGUUGGGAGAGUAGGUAAACCGAUUUUUUUUUUUAACAGGGAGGUUUUGACAAUCUUUGGCAGACUUACAGCGAAAGAUUGGGGUGCAUUUCAUACUUCUUUGAGACAGUCUUGCUCUGUUGCCCAGGCUGGAGUGCAGUGGAGCAAUCUUGGCUGCAACCUCAGCCUCCCAAGUAGUUGGGAUUAUAGGCAUAAGCCACCACGCCUGGCCCUCAUACCUCUUUUAAGAGUCUGCUGUUUUGUAUUAAAGACUUUGGAAUUUGGCAUUUGGUUAGGAAUGCACCACCUUAACCAGAGAAGUGACUCUGCCUGGCCUUACGCCAAAUUCCAGAAGGCACACAGUGUUGGUGGGUAUUUUAUUUUAUUUUAUUUUUUAUUUUUAUUUUUUUUUUGAGACGGAGUCUUGCUCUGUCGCCCAGGCUGGAGUGCAGUGGCCGGAUCUCAGCUCACUGCAACCUCCGCCUCCCGGGUU